rnacentral:rRNA from 1 species
GAUGAACGCUGGCGGCGUGCCUAACACAUGCAAGUCGAACGGACAUUUUUUGGAAAGCUCUUCGGAACUGGAAUCUAAAUGUUAGUGGCGGACGGGUGAGUAACGCGUGAGCAAUCUGCCUUUCAGAGGGGGAUAACAGCCGGAAACGGCUGCUAAUACCGCAUAAUGCAUCGGAUUCGCAUGUUUUUGAUGCCAAAGAUUUUAUCGCUGAAAGAUGAGCUCGCGUCUGAUUAGCUAGUUGGUGAGGUAAGGGCUCACCAAGGCGACGAUGCGUAGCCGACCUGAGAGGGUGAUCGGCCACAUUGGGACUGAGACACGGCCCAG